AUCCGCUCAGGACGAACGCUGGCGGCGUGCCUAAUACAUGCAAGUCGAGCGGACAGAUGGGAGCUUGCUCCCUGAUGUUAGCGGCGGACGGGUGAGUAACACGUGGGUAACCUGCCUGUAAGACUGGGAUAACUCCGGGAAACCGGGGCUAAUACCGGAUGGUUGUUUGAACCGCAUGGUUCAGACAUAAAAGGUGGCUUCGGCUACCACUUACAGAUGGACCCGCGGCGCAUUAGCUAGUUGGUGAGGUAACGGCUCACCAAGGCAACGAUGCGUAGCCGACCUGAGAGGGUGAUCGGCCACACUGGGACUGAGACACGGCCCAGACUCCUACGGGAGGCAGCAGUAGGGAAUCUUCCGCAAUGGACGAAAGUCUGACGGAGCAACGCCGCGUGAGUGAUGAAGGUUUUCGGAUCGUAAAGCUCUGUUGUUAGGGAAGAACAAGUGCCGUUCAAAUAGGGCGGCACCUUGACGGUACCUAACCAGAAAGCCACGGCUAACUACGUGCCAGCAGCCGCGGUAAUACGUAGGUGGCAAGCGUUGUCCGGAAUUAUUGGGCGUAAAGGGCUCGCAGGCGGUUUCUUAAGUCUGAUGUGAAAGCCCCCGGCUCAACCGGGGAGGGUCAUUGGAAACUGGGGAACUUGAGUGCAGAAGAGG
rnacentral:rRNA from 1 species